AUUGAACGCUGGCGGCAGGCCUAACACAUGCAAGUCGGGCGAGCGGCGGACGGGUGAGUAAUGUAUGGGGAUCUGCCUGAUGGAGGGGGAUAACUACUGGCAACGGUAGCUAAUACCGCAUCCCAUCCGAUGAACCCAUAUGGGAUUAGCUUGUAGGGGAGGUAACGGCUCACCUAGGCGACGAUCCCUAGCUGGUCUGAGAGGAUGAUUAGUAACACGGCGACGGAGACAAGGCCUAGCCCUCGACGUGAGGCAGGAGUGGGAAAUAUUGGACAGUGGGCGAAAGGGUGAAUCAGUCAUGGCGCGUGUAUGAAGAAGGCCUUCGGGUCGUAAAGUACGUUAAGUUGGGAGGCGUUACCGACAGAAGAAGCACCGGCUAACUCCGUGCCAGCAGCCGCGGUAAUUC
rnacentral:rRNA from 1 species